rnacentral:rRNA from 1 species
GACGAACGCUGGCGGCGUGCUUAACACAUGCAAGUCGAACGGAAAGGCCCUGCUUUUGUGGGGUGCUCGAGUGGCGAACGGGUGAGUAACACGUGAGUAACCUGCCCUUGACUUUGGGAUAACUUCAGGAAACUGGGGCUAAUACCGGAUAGGAGCUCCUGCUGCAGGGUGGGGGUUGGAAAGUUUCGGCGGUUGGGGAUGGACUCGCGGCUUAUCAGCUUGUUGGUGGGGUAGUGGCUUACCAAGGCUUUGACGGGUAGCCGGCAUGGGAGGGUGACCGGCCACAUUGGGCCUGCGAUACGGCCCAGACUCCUACGGGAGGCAGCAGUGGGGAAUAUUGCACAAUGGGCGGAAGCCUGAUGCAGAAACGCCGCGUGCGGGAUGACGGCCUGCUGGUUGUAAACCGCUUUCGCCUGUGACGAAGCGUGAGUGACGGUAAUGGGUAAAGAAGCACCGGCUAACUACGUG